rnacentral:hammerhead_ribozyme from 1 species
AUCCAGCUGAAGAGUCCCAUAUAUGACGAAACUUCCGUCCUGGAU